rnacentral:rRNA from 1 species
AGGGUGUAAACGCUGCAGACUUGGUGUUGGAAGUCCUUUGGGGGCAUUCAGUGCCGGAGAGAAGUUGUUAAGUCUGCUACUUGGGGAGUACGUCCGCAAGGAUGAAACUUAAAGGAAUUGGCGGGGGAGCACCGCAACGGGAGGAGCGUGCGGUUUAAUUGGACUCAACGCCGGACAACUCACCGGGGACGACAGCAAUAUGUAGGCCAGGCUGAAGACCUUGCCUGAAUCGCUGAGAGGUGGUGCAUGGCGUAGACGUCU